rnacentral:rRNA from 1 species
UACGUAGGGUGCGAGCGUUAAUCGGAAUUACUGGGCGUAAAGCGUGCGCAGGCGGUGAUGUAAGACCGAUGUGAAAUCCCCGGGCUUAACCUGGGAACUGCAUUUGUGACUGCAUCGCUGGAGUGGCGGCAGAGGGGGAUGGAAUUCCGCGUGUAGCAGUGAAAUGCGUAGAUAUGCGGAGGAACACCGAUGGCGAAGGCAAUCCCCUGGGCCUGCACUGACGCUCAUGCACGAAAGCGUGGGGAGCAAACAGG